rnacentral:lncRNA from 1 species
GUAUAAAAUGCUUUAUAUGUAUCUCUCUCUAUAUAUAAAUACAUAUGUAUCUUUUGACACACACACUUACACAUUCAGCCACAUACCAUCAGCAACCACCAAACCAAUCAUGAGAUAUUUUUUCUAGCAAGGAAAUAAGCUGCCCCAAAUAAAUCAUAGCCAAUAAAAUAACUUUUUGGGGGGUACAAAACACUGUCAGAGAUAAAAAUCUCUAGGAAAUAAAAUUAGUACAAAACAAACAUCAUAUCAGGGUCACUCAUCAUAAAAUAAACAGAGAGAAACAGGAAGUGGGAGACUAAAAUACAUCUUCUAUUUAAAGGAAAACAUAAUUCCCAAAAGUUUACAAACAAGUCUUUCUGGAUCAUUAAAAACAACUCUGAAAUGUUGCAGUUUAAAGACCUUAGAAUACCAUCUCCAUUCCCCACUUCCUGAAGCGUGCGUUUACUUCCUCUCUUAUAAAAUUAAUCUUUUUUGAAUGUUCAAAUAUAUUUGGCGAGUCUGGUGGGCGCCUAGCAGAAGAGCCCUGUUUCAGCUGGGAAAUGCUUCAGGGUGGGCAGGACUUGCUAUAAACAAGAUGGAGACAGACAAGAUGGGGAGCAGGGGAGACUGUCAUCUAUGAUGCUGCAAGUAGGAGGAGAGGAGGCAUUUGGCAGGAGAUUCCACAAAUAUGAAAGUCUGCUAUUAGGAUGGCCUCAGAGGACCAAAGAGGAAAAGGGGCAUCAACCACAGAGCUGGGUCCUGUCCAACCCCACACACCUGCUGCCCCACCAUGCUCGUCCCCCAGUGCUGAGACAUCUGUUGUCAGGAGAUAAUACCUGAAACCAACAAAGCUAAGAAGAAGUCUCCUUUUACUGGCUCUAUUCUCUCUUGACAGAUUAUAUUGGUUCUUUUCAUAUUUUCAAAGAACCCUCUUGGGGGAUUAGAAAAUUUAAUGUUUAAGUCACCGAGGAUGAGAAAUAAGCCAAGAAGAGCAUUUUUGAAAAGGGACAGGUGGCCUGAUUUUGUUCCUGCCUGAGAGCUGCUCACUCCAUCCCAACACUCAGGGGGGAAGGUUUCUCCUUAGGUCGCUGGCUGGGUGCAGCCUGGAAGUUCUGAAAACACAGAUGUCUCUGUAUUGCUGUGGAAAGACCAGGAGGCUUCUUCUCAAUUCCACAGCAAAGUCAUUCCAUGGGAGUUUGGAGCUGACUUCCUCAGAAGCACAGUUCCUGUGAAAGAGGAUAGAAUCUUGGUUACCUCUUCCUUUCACAGACCUCCUUUCUUUCCUGAACUACACCUCCACCGUCUUGCCUUUUGACCGCUAAGUCAGAUCCUUCUGAAAAGCUCUUAAUUUCUGUUUUUAAAUAUCUUUUUAACAAAAAACAUACAAGUAAAC